UGUGUCUGUGAUGAUUCAUUCACCCACUCAUGUUUGAGUCUCGACUAUGAGAAAAUCUAACAUGUACCACCAUCUGAGACACA
rfam:Branchiostoma floridae genomic scaffold BRAFLscaffold_224, whole genome shotgun sequence.